UCUGUGGGAAUCGCCGUCAACUCGGUCAACUUGGCGAGCCGCCAUUUUUACUCUGAUUUACGUACUCCGAAGAAGAAGAGGAAGGAUCAGGACGGAUUCGACGUUUACACAACGAGAAAUUACAAGAGACUUAUGAAGUCAAGAUAAAUUUUUCAUCCUGUUAAAUAAAUGAAUAUAAAAGAACAGAGAUCAGCUUAUGGAGGUCUACAUAGAUAAGAAUAGUGUAAAUCUGAUGAUGUGAUAUAAGUAUAUGUAUACACAUAAAUUAUACAAGAAAGCAUCAGAAAUUAAUGAGACUGAUUUUCUUAAAAAUUUUUUUACUUCUGUUUUUACUUAAUCAUGGAAUUAAAAAUUA